GAUGAACGCUGGCGGCGUGCUUAACACAUGCAAGUCGAACGAAGCAUUUGCGACAGAUUUUUUCGGAAUGAAGUUGCUUAUGACUGAGUGGCGGACGGGUGAGUAACGCGUGGGUAACCUGCCUUGUACUGGGGGAUAGCAGCUGGAAACGGCUGGUAAUACCUCAUAAGCGCACAAUGUUGCAUGACAUGGUGUGGAACACUCCGGUGGUAUAAGAUGGACCCGCGUCUGAUUAGCUAGUUGGUGAGAUAACAGCCCACCAAGGCGACGAUCAGUAGUCGACCUAAGACGGUGACCGGCCACAUUGGGACUUAGACACGACCCAGACUCCUACGAGAAGCAGCAGUAGGGAAUAUUGCACAAUGGAGGAAACUCUGAUGCAGCGACGCCGCGUGAGUGAAGAAAUAAUUCGUUAUAUAAAACUCUAUCAGCAGGGAAGAUAGUGACGGUACCUGACUAAGAAGCUCCGGCUAAAUACGUG
rnacentral:rRNA from 1 species